rnacentral:rRNA from 1 species
GACGAACGCUGGCGGCGUGCUUAACACAUGCAAGUCGAACGGAAAGGCCCUGCUUGCAGGGUGCUCGAGUGGCGAACGGGUGAGUAACACGUGGGUGAUCUGCCCCUUACUUUGGGAUAAGCCUGGGAAACUGGGUCUAAUACUGGAUAGGACCAUGCUGUAGGUGGUGUGGUGGAAAGAUUAGUUUCGGUAAGGGAUGAGCUCGCGGCCUAUCAGCUUGUUGGUGGGGUAAUGGCCUACCAAGGCGUCGACGGGUAGCCGGCCUGAGAGGGUGGACGGCCACAUUGGGACUGAGAUACGGGCCAGACUCCUACGGGAGGCAGCAGUGGGGAAUAUUGCACAAUGGGCGCAAGCCUGAUGCAGCGACGCCGCGUGGGGGAUGACGGCCUUCGGGUUGUAAGCUCCUUUCAGCCAUGACGAAGCCCUUGUGGUGACGGUAGUGGUAGAAGAAGCACCGGCUAACUACGUG